UAUUUGGUCUGUUACAAAGGAAGGAGGGAAAUGGGAUGGUACCGUGAUGAAUGAUUUUAAGACUCCAAUCUGGAAGGUUUCAUGGUCAUUGACUGGAGACUUGUUGGCUGUUGCUGAUGGGAAUAACCAUAUUACUCUGUGGAAAGAAGCAGUUGAUGGUAAAUGGCAACAAGUAACUACAGUUGAGCCUUAGGUUAUUCAUUGUUAGCCUUUGUCAUUUCAUUAUGUUUUGUGUCUUGUCAGGAGCAUGUUGUUCAAUAUUGUUAAACACUUUCCCUGUAUUUAGUUCACAAUAUUUUGUACUAUCAUUGCAUGUCUUCAUAACUUCUAAUCAUAUUUUGAGGGUGAGGAAUGAG
rnacentral:misc_RNA from 1 species